rnacentral:rRNA from 1 species
UACGUAGGGACCAAGCGUUGUCCGGAAUCAUUGGGCGUAAAGCGCGCGUAGGUGGCCAUUUAAGUCCGCUGUGAAAGUCAGAGGCUCAACCUUUGAAAGCCGGUGGAUACUGGAUGGCUAGAGUACGGAAGAGGCGAGUGGAAUUCCUGGUGUAGCGGUGGAAUGCGCAGAUAUCAGGAGGAACACCAAUAGCGAAGGCAGCGCGCUGGGACGUUACUGACACUAAGGCGCGAAAGCGUGGGGAGCGAACAGG